rnacentral:sRNA from 1 species
CUGACAGCAAUAAAAACUGAAGUCCUCUUUUUGUCCACUGAACAGGUACAGUGUGAGCAGCAGCAGUGCAAGCUUCACCACACUGUCCCACCAAAGCACUGAGAACCCUGACCUAGAGAGAGACCUCUGUAGCAAGGGUUAAGAGACUUGUUCAGUCUCACUCAGCCUUUACCGUGGCUGCC